UACGUAGGGGGCUAGCGUUGUCCGGAUUUAUUGGGCGUAAAGAGCGUGUAGGCGGCCAGGCAGGUCUGUUGUGAAAACUGGAGGCUCAACUUCCAGACGUCGACAGAAACCGCUUGGCUAGAGUCCGGAAGAGGAGAGUGGAAUUCCUGGUGUAGCGGUGAAAUGCGCAGAUAUCAGGAAGAACACCGAUGGCGAAGGCAGCUCUCUGGGACGGUACUGACGCUGAGACGCGAAAGCGUGGGGAGCGAACAGG
rnacentral:rRNA from 1 species